UGGUAUACUGAUGUCGAGGUCGAGUUCCCGGCUGCUCCGGCCCUAUUGAGUAUGGAUGCUAUGGUUUCGUCGACGAGGCGAACGUAGGUAGGAGAUAGAGGUAUAUCAAACCAUAAGAGAAUGUGUGUAGAUGCAAUUUUGUGUUUAAAAAGUACUUUCUCCCCGUACAACAGUGACAUAGGACAUGUCGCAGCAAGGCGAACCGAUGUCGACGACCAC
rnacentral:pre_miRNA from 1 species